ACGCUCGACACCUACGGAGGCAGCAGUGGGGAAUAUUGCACAAUGGGGGAAACCCUGAUGCAGCGACGCCGCGUGAAGGAAGAAGUAUUUCGGUAUGUAAACUUCUAUCAGCAGGGAAGAAAAUGACGGUACCUGAGUAAGAAGCACCGGCUAAAUACGUGCCAGCACGCCGAGUAUNGNGGCGGNUGGACGAAGGC
rnacentral:rRNA from 1 species